rnacentral:rRNA from 1 species
UACGGAGGAGGCAAGCGUUAUCCGGAAUUAUUGGGCGUAAAGCGUCCGUAGGUGGCUAGUCAAGUCUGCGGUCAAAGACUGGGGCUUAACCCUGGAAAGGCCGUGGAUACUGACGAGCUAGAGUGCAGUAGGGGUAGAGGGAAUUCCCGGUGUAGCGGUGAAAUGCGUAGAGCUCGGGAAGAACAUCGGUGGCGAAAGCGGUCUACUGGACUGCAACUGACACUCAGGGACGAAAGCUAGGGGAGCGAAUGGG